rnacentral:rRNA from 1 species
CCUACGGGAGGCAGCAGUGAGGAAUAUUGGUCAAUGGACGAGAGUCUGAACCAGCCAAGUAGCGUGAAGGAUGACUGCCCUAUGGGUUGUAAACUUCUUUUAUAAAGGAAUAAAACGAGGCACGUGUGCCUUUUUUCAUGUACUGUAUGAAUAAGGAUCGGCUAACUCCGUGCCAGCAGCCGCGGUAAUACGGAGGAGCCGAGCGUUAUCCGGAUUUAUUGGGUUUAAAGGGAGCGUAGAUGGGUUGUUAAGUCAGUUGUGAAAGUUUGCGGCUCAACCGUAAAAUUGCAAUUGAUACUGGCAGUCUUGAGUACAGUUGAGGUAGGCGGAAUUCGUGGUGUAGCGGUGAAAUGCUUAGAUAUCACGAAGAACCCCGAUUGCGAAGGCAGCUUACUAAACUGUGACUGACAUUGAUGCUCGAAAGUGUGGGUAUCAAACAGGAUUAGAUACCCUGGUAGUC